rnacentral:rRNA from 1 species
UACGUAGGUGGCAAGCGUUGUCCGGAUUUAUUGGGCUUAAAGGGUGCGUAGGCGGCUUUGUAAGUCAGUGCUGAAAUAUCCCGGCUUAACCGGGAGGGUGGCAUUGAUACUGCAGGGCUUGAGUAAAGUUGAGGUAGGCGGAAUUGACGGUGUAGCGGUGAAAUGCUUAGAUAUCGUCAAGAACACCGAUAGUGUAGACAGCUUACUAAGCUUUAACUGACGCUGAGGCACGAAAGUGUGGGGAUCAAACAGG